rnacentral:rRNA from 1 species
AUUGCAGGCUGCAACUCGCCUGCAUGAAGUCGGAAUUGCUAGUAAUCGCGGAUCAGCAUGCCGCGGUGAAUACGUUCCCGGGCCUUGUACACACCGCCCGUCACACCAUGAGAGUUGGGAAUACCCGAAGCCUGUGAGCUAACGAAAGAGGCAGCAGUCGAAGGUAGAAUCAAUGAUUGGGGUGAAGUCGUAACAAGGUAUC